rnacentral:lncRNA from 1 species
CCUCUCUCUCCAUCUCCACACCAUCUCCUCUUCCUCCUCUCUUUCCCACGUCAAAGGGUUGGGCAUCCCAUCUUCCCACAAGCCUGAGUUGGGGUGAUCUCUUCUAUAGCAAGGAACAGGGAGAAAGAUAGCAGUUCAAGCAUUGAGAUCGCAGUCAAAGAUCAAGAGUUGAUCAAAGAUCCAAAAAGCUGAGAUUCAUCUUAGAGAAGA